rnacentral:rRNA from 1 species
AAUCAACGCUGGCGGCGUGCCUCAGACAUGCAAGUCGAACGCGAAAGUUCCCUUCGGGGAGCAAGUAGAGUGGCGCACGGGUGAGUAACACGUAGGUAAUUUGCCUUCGGGUGGGGAAGUAACAGUCGGAAACGACUGCUAAUACCGCAUAAUGCAGCGGCUCGACAUCGAGACAGUUGUUAAAGCGGGGGAGUCCUUCGGGACCGUCGCGCCUGAAGAGAAGCCUGCGGCAGAUUAGCUAGUUGGUUGAGGUAAUAGGCCCGACCAAGGCUACGAUCUGUAACCGGCCUGAGAGGGCGGUCGGUCACACUGACACUGACAUAC